AGCUCCAGUAGCGUAUAUGAAAUUUGUUGCGGUUGAAAAGCUCGUAGUCGGAAGUAGGGCGCGCACGCUUUCGGUCACGCCUCGCGCAUGUACUGAACGGGCGCGCCCCGACGGUCGAAGGGCGCCUCCUGGGCUUCGUUGUUCGGGGCCGCUGUUCGGCAAGGUUACUUUGAGGAACUUUGGGUGUUCAAGGCACGAGGACCUUCGUGACUUCACUAGCAUGGAAUAACAUCGAUGGGCUCCUGCCCAUCCUGUUGGUGUGAGGGCUUGGAGCAACGAUCGAUAGGAGUGGCUCGGGAACGUCCGUACCGACGGAGGAGAGGUGAAAUUCUUGGACCCCGUCGAGACGAACCUAUGCGAAAGCAGUCGUUAAGGACACGUCCUUGUGAUCAAGAACGAA
rnacentral:rRNA from 1 species